AUGCAAAUGAGUGACCAUUAAAUUACAAUCACACGUGAAUAAGUUUGCUCACAUGACAAGUUAUUAAAAAAACACGCCACGCCAUCAUCCUCACAACUACUUCCUGUCGUCUUGUUUUCUGUGGUUUCCACUAACAG